ACUGAACGCUGGCGGCAGGCCUAACACAUGCAAGUCGAGCGGUAGAGAGGUGCUUGCACCUCUUGAGAGCGGCGGACGGGUGAGUAAUGCCUAGGAAUCUGCCUGGUAGUGGGGGAUAACGCUCGGAAACGGACGCUAAUACCGCAUACGUCCUACGGGAGAAAGCAGGGGACCUUCGGGCCUUGCGCUAUCAGAUGAGCCUAGGUCGGAUUAGCUAGUUGGUGAGGUAAUGGCUCACCAAGGCGACGAUCCGUAACUGGUCUGAGAGGAUGAUCAGUCCAACUGGAACUGAGACACGGUCCAGACUCCUACGGGAGGCAGCAGUGGGGAAUAUUGGACAAUGGGCGAAAGCCUGAUCCAGCCAUGCCGCGUGUGUGAAGAAGGUCUUCGGAUUGUAAAGCACUUUAAGUUGGGAGGAAGGGUCGUUACCUAAUACGUGACGAUUUUGACGUUACCGACAGAAUAAGCACCGGCUAACUCUGUGCCAGCAGCCGCAGUAAGAC
rnacentral:rRNA from 1 species